rnacentral:lncRNA from 1 species
CCGCCCCGCGCCGCCCGGUCCCCAGCGAAGCCCGGGCCAGCCCCAGCGCCCAGCUGGAUCCCGGAAUAACCGGUGAAGACGGCUCCCCGGAAUCCCCGCCCCUAGCGGGCUCUCCCGGACCCCCGGCCCGCGCUAGUCUUUGCCAGGAUCCCGCGCAAAGGAUCAAGUCCCAGCUUCCCUUUCCCCACCGAGAGUCUCCAGCGCCAACCGCGGGCCGUCGGGCGGGUCCCUGACCCGCAGUUACUCAGCUACCUCUCUGGUGGAGGAGGUGUCAGCGACUUGAGAAUGAGUGCGCCAAAGAAGACAGAGCCACGCCUGAGCCUCCUUCAACAAAGCCUGCACUUCCUGUUCUCUUCUCAAGCGUGCUGUCAGCAGAUCUUGACUGAAACCUCUGUGCCCUACCCUGUCCUUGGCACCAGACGCAGGGGAAAGGAUCAGGCCCAGUCCCUCCUCUGACUGACAGUGCUAAACCAGCUACCUGUUCUGAGCAAGGCCCCUGAAGACUGGGAACACGAAUUUGCCCAACAGCUGCCUGGCUUAAGGGUUAGGCCGUUGAUAUAAAAAUACAUGGCUAAUGUAACCUA